AUACGUCCUCGUUAGGCGAGGCGUCUAUGUGAACAUAAGCCACUGCCCGGAAACGUCGAAAGACGCCAAUGGGUAGAACAGGUAUGGCCGGCUUAAGGCUUUACUCAACGUGGCUGAGUGGACAACUCUACGUCGCAUAGUGCUAAAGCUCAACUAGGGGGAUUUAU
rnacentral:sRNA from 2 species